rnacentral:tRNA from 1 species
CAGAAAAUAGUUUAUUUAAAAUAUUAAUUUUGGGAAUUAAUGAAAAAUAUUUAUAUUUUUUUCUGA